GACGAACGCUGGCGGCGUGCUUAACACAUGCAAGUCGAACGGAAAGGCCCAGCUUGCUGGGUGCUCGAGUGGCGAACGGGUGAGUAACACGUGGGUGAUCUGCCUCUAACUUCGGGAUAAGCUUGGGAAACUGGGUCUAAUACCGGAUAGGACAAUCGUUUAGUGUCGGUUGUGGAAAGUUUUUUCGGUUAGGGAUGAGCCCGCGGCCUAUCAGCUUGUUGGUGGGGUAAUGGCCUACCAAGGCGUCGACGGGUAGCCGGCCUGAGAGGGUGGACGGCCACAUUGGGACUGAGAUACGGCCCAGACUCCUACGGGAGGCAGCAGUGGGGAAUAUUGCACAAUGGGCGCAAGCCUGAUGCAGCGACGCCGCGUGGGGGAUGACGGCCUUCGGGUUGUAAACCUCUUUCGACAGGGACGAAGCUUUGGUGACGGUACCUGGAGAAGAAGCACCGGCUAACUACGUG
rnacentral:rRNA from 1 species